GGAGUGUUCCAAAAGUCCCAACUCAGUCCAUUAUAUCCUGGUAACUUUGGAAAUAAGCUUUAGAGGCGGAAAGAUUCGUGACGCUUAGAGGAUGUGUAUCGAUGGUGAAUGGAGUCAAGGGGCUGAGCGUUAUUCGAUUCGAGGAUGUAGUCUUCUUUAUGUUUUUAUGGUUUCAAAUGUAUUUUCCGCAUUUUCUAUGUAACCCUUUUUACUUUAAGUUGUUUUUUGUUUUAAAGACGAUGGGUACCCAUAUCCUACUUAUUUUAUGAAAGUAACCUUUGUUUCCACAAGUUUCAAUAAAAUUAUGGUAUU